UACGAAGGGGGCUAGCGUUGCUCGGAAUCACUGGGCGUAAAGGGUGCGUAGGCGGGUCUUUAAGUCAGGGGUGAAAUCCUGGAGCUCAACUCCAGAACUGCCUUUGAUACUGAAGAUCUUGAGUUCGGGGAGAGGUGAGUGGAACUGCGAGUGUAGAGGUGAAAUUCGUAGAUAUUCGCAAGAACACCAGUGGCGAAGGCGGACUCACUGGCCCGAUACUGACGCUGACGG
rnacentral:rRNA from 1 species